rnacentral:lncRNA from 1 species
UGUGCACAUAAGUAAUUAUCUUAUCUUGCUGAUUUACCAGUAUGUAAAGUUCUCUCUUAUGUCCAUAUGUGUGAGUUCAGUUUCAUAUAAACAUAUAAGCUGGUUCAUACCAUUUUCUUCUGUAGCUUAUUUUUCUUCAAGAAGUGUCAUCCCCUUGUCUGUUCAUGAUACCUAACACUAAAAAGUUCUCAGUGUGCACACGGGCUCGUUGGAAUGUACAAGUCCCUAAAACCAUGAACCUGGAUAAAU